rnacentral:rRNA from 1 species
UACGAAGGGAGCUAGCGUUGUUCGGAAUCACUGGGCGUAAAGCGCACGUAGGCGGACGUGUCAGUCAGGGGUGGAAUCCCGGAGCUCAACUUCGGAACUGCCUUUGAUACAGCACGUCUUGAGUCCGGAAGAGGUGGGUGGAAUUCCUAGUGUAGAGGUGAAAUUCGUAGAUAUUAGGAAGAACACCGGUGGCGAAGGCGGCCCACUGGUCCGGUACUGACGCUGAGGUGCGAAAGCGUGGGGAGCAAACAGG